UACGAAGGGUGCAAGCGUUCCUCGGAAUUACUGGGCGUAAAGCGUGCGUAGGUGGUUCGUUAAGUCUGAUGUGAAAGCCCUGGGCUCAACCUGGGAAUGGCAUUGGAAACUGGCGACCUAGAGUGCGGUAGAGGGUAGUGGAAUUCCCGGUGUAGCAGUGAAAUGCGUAGAGAUCGGGAGGAACAUCCGUGGCGAAGGCGACUACCUGGACCAGCACUGACACUGAGGCACGAAAGCGUGGGGAGCAAACAGG
rnacentral:rRNA from 1 species